GCCUGAUGGUUUCGACUGGACAUACUCUGCAGCUAAUAGAAAUAAAUAUGGGAAUGAUGAAUAUACAUACAUAAAUAGAAAUUUGAAUAUAAAAUAUAGUAUAUAUGAUUCAGAAAGAGGAAAAUAAAAAGGAGACAUGAGAAUGCAUUCCUAAGGGGACUUCAUUUCAGUGCUUUUGUUGCCUAAAUGCAUAUAUAGUUGCAUAUAAGAAA
rnacentral:lncRNA from 1 species